CUAGAGAUAGGGAUUUCCCUUCGGGGACAGGAGUGACAGGUGGUGCAUGGUUGUCGUCAGCUCGUGUCGUGAGAUGUUGGGUUAAGUCCCGCAACGAGCGCAACCCUUGACCUUAGUUGCCAGCAUUCAGUUGGGCACUUUAAGGUGACUGCCGGUGACAAACCGGAGGAAGGUGGGGAUGACGUCAAAUCAUCAUGCCCCUUAUGACCUGGGCUACACACGUGUUACAAUGGAUGGUACAAAGGGCUGCAAGACCGCGAGGUUUAGCCAAUCCCAUAAAACCAUUUUCAGUUC
rnacentral:rRNA from 1 species